CUCCUUUUAGCUUAAUAUUGAGAGUGUCAGUUUGAAGGUCUGGAGGUAUAUUUUAUAUAGAGGUGG
rnacentral:tRNA from 1 species